rnacentral:pre_miRNA from 1 species
GUCGGGGGAGGGGGUCCCUCAGCCCAGAUUGCGAGAGGGCGCAGGCCAGGCUGAGGGACCCCACUGGUUCAUG